rnacentral:rRNA from 1 species
AAUAGAUACCCUGGUAGUCCACGCCGUAAACGAUGAGUGCUAAGUGUUAGGGGGUUUCCGCCCCUUAGUGCUGCAGCUAACGCAUUAAGCACUCCGCCUGGGGAGUACGGUCGCAAGACUGAAACUCAAAGGAAUUGACGGGGGCCCGCACAAGCGGUGGAGCAUGUGGUUUAAUUCGAAGCAACGCGAAGAACCUUACCAGGUCUUGACAUCCCAUUGACCACUAUGGAGACAUGGUUUUCCCUUCGGGGACAACGGUGACAGGUGGUGCAUGGUUGUCGUCAGCUCGUGUCGUGAGAUGUUGGGUUAAGUCCCGCAACGAGCGCGACCCUUGUUCUUAGUUGCCAUCAUUUAGUUGGGCACUCUAAGGAGACUGCCGGUGACAAGCCGGAGGAAGGUGGGGAUGACGUCAAAUCAUCAUGCCCCUUAUGACCUGGGCUACACACGUGCUACAAUGGACGGUACAAACGGUUGCCAACCCGCGAGGGGGAGCUAAUCCGAUAAAACCGUUCUCAGUUCGGAUUGUAGGGCUACGACUACGUCCGUACCUAUAGUAAC